rnacentral:rRNA from 1 species
UACGUAGGGUGCGAGCGUUGUCCGGAAUUAUUGGGCGUAAAGAGCUUGUAGGCGGUCUGUCGCGUCUGCUGUGAAAAUCCGGGGCUCAACCCCGGACUUGCAGUGGGUACGGGCAGACUAGAGUGUGGUAGGGGAGACUGGAAUUCCUGGUGUAGCGGUGAAAUGCGCAGAUAUCAGGAGGAACACCGAUGGCGAAGGCAGGUCUCUGGGCCACUACUGACGCUGAGCCGCGAAAGCCAGGGGAGCGAACGGG